rnacentral:rRNA from 1 species
GACGAACGCUGGCGGCGUGCUUAACACAUGCAAGUCGAACGGAAAGGCCCUGCUUUUGUGGGGUGCUCGAGUGGCGAACGGGUGAGUAACACGUGAGUAACCUGCCCUUGACUUUGGGAUAACUUCAGGAAACUGGGGCUAAUACCGGAUAGGAGCUCCUGCUGCAUGGUGGGGGUUGGAAAGUUUCGGCGGUUGGGGAUGGACUCGCGGCUUAUCAGCUUGUUGGUGGGGUAGUGGCUUACCAAGGCUUUGACGGGUAGCCGGCCUGAGAGGGUGACCGGGGACAUGGGGACUGAGAGACGGCCCAGAAGCCUACGGGAGGCAGCAGUGGGGAAUAUUGCACAAUGGGCGGAAGCCUGAUGCAGCAACGCCGCGUGCGGGAUGACGGCCUUCGGGUUGUAAACCGCUUUCGCAGGUGACGAAGAGUGAGUGACGGUAAUGGGUAAAGAAGCACCGGCUAACUACGUG